CCUACGGGAGGCUGCAGUGGGGAAUAUUGCGCAAUGGGCGAAAGCCUGACGCAGCGACGCCGCGUGAGGGAUGAAGGUCUUCGGAUCGUAAACCUCUGUCAGCAGGGAAGAACGGUCACUGUGCUAAUCAGCAGUGAAUUGACGGUACCUGCAAAGGAAGCACCGGCUAACUCCGUGCCAGCAGCCGCGGUAAUACGGAGGGUGCGAGCGUUAAUCGGAAUUACUGGGCGUAAAGAGCUCGUAGGCGGUAUGUCAAGUCAAGGGUGAAAUCCCCGCGCUCAACGUGGGAACUGCCUUUGAAACUGGCAAACUGGGGGGUGUGAGAGGAUAGUGGAAGUCCAGGUGUAGGAGUGAAAUCCGUAGAUAUCUGGAGGAACAUCAGUGGCGAAGGCGACUAUCUGGCACAUAACUGACGCUGAGGAGCGAAAGCGUGGGUAGCAAACAGGAUUAGAUACCCAGUAGUC
rnacentral:rRNA from 1 species